GACGAACGCUGGCGGCGUGCUUAACACAUGCAAGUCGAACGGAAAGGCCCUGCUUUUGUGGGGUGCUCGAGUGGCGAACGGGUGAGUAACACGUGAGUAACCUGCCCUUGACUUUGGGAUAACUUCAGGAAACUGGGGCUAAUACCGGAUAGGAGCUCCUGCUGCAUGGUGGGGGUUGGAAAGUUUCGGCGGUUGGGGAUGGACUCGCGGCUUAUCAGCUUGUUGGUGGGGUAGUGGCUUACCAAGGCUUUGACGGGUAGCCGGCCUGAGAGGGUGACCGGCCACAUUGGGACUGAGAUACGGCCCAGACUCCUACGGGAGGCAGCAGUGGGGAAUAUUGCACAAUGGGCGGAAGCCUGAUGCAGCAACGCCGCGUGCGGGAUGACGGCCUUCGGGUUGUAAACCGCUUUCGCCUGUGACGAAGCGUGAGUGACGGUAAUGGGUAAAGAAGCACCGGCUAACUACGUGCCAGCAGCCGCGGUGAUACGUAGGGUGCGAGCGUUGUCCGGAUUUAUUGGGCGUAAAGGGCUCGUAGGUGGUUGAUCGCGUCGGAAGUGUAAUCUUGGGGCUUAACCCUGAGCGUGCUUUCGAUACGGGUUGACUUGAGGAAGGUAGGGGAGAAUGGAAUUCCUGGUGGAGCGGUGGAAUGCGCAGAUAUCAGGAGGAACACCAGUGGCGAAGGCGGUUCUCUGGGCCUUUCCUGACGCUGAGGAGCGAAAGCGUGGGGAGCGAACAGGCUUAGAUACCCUGGUAGUCCACGCUGUAAACGGUGGGUACUAGGUGUGGGGUCCAUUCCACGGGUUCCGUGCCGUAGCUAACGCUUUAAGUACCCCGCCUGGGGAGUACGGCCGCAAGGCUAAAACUCAAAGGAAUUGACGGGGCCCCGCACAAGCGGCGGAGCACGCGGAUUAAUUCGAUGCAACGCGUAGAACCUUACCUGGGUUUGACAUGGAUCGGGAGUGCUCAGAGAUGGGUGUGCCUCUUUUGGGGUCGGUUCACAGGUGGUGCAUGGCUGUCGUCAGCUCGUGUCGUGAGAUGUUGGGUUAAGUCCCGCAACGAGCGCAACCCUUGUUCACUGUUGCCAGCACGUUAUGGUGGGGACUCAGUGGAGACCGCCGGGGUCAACUCGGAGGAAGGUGGGGAUGACGUCAAGUCAUCAUGCCCCUUAUGUCCAGGGCUUCACGCAUGCUACAAUGGCUGGUACAGAGAGUGGCGAGCCUGUGAGGGUGAGCGAAUCUCGGAAAGUCGGUCUCAGUUCGGAUUGGGGUCUGCAACUCGACCUCAUGAAGUCGGAGUCGCUAGUAAUCGCAGAUCAGCAACGCUGCGGUGAAUACGUUCCCGGG
rnacentral:rRNA from 1 species